AUUGAACGCUGGCGGCAUGCUUUACACAUGCAAGUCGAACGGCAGCACGGGGGCAACCCUGGUGGCGAGUGGCGAACGGGUGAGUAAUGCAUCGGAACGUACCCAGUCGUGGGGGAUAACGCAGCGAAAGUUGUGCUAAUACCGCAUACGACCUGAGGGUGAAAGCGGGGGACCGUAAGGCCUCGCGCGAUUGGAGCGGCCGAUGUCUGAUUAGCUAGUUGGUGGGGUAAAGGCCCACCAAGGCGACGAUCAGUAACGGGUCUGAGAGGAUGAUCCGCCACACUGGGACUGAGACACGGCCCAGACUCCUACGGGAGGCAGCAGUGGGGAAUUUUGGACAAUGGGGGCAACCCUGAUCCAGCCAUGCCGCGUGCGGGAAGAAGGCCUCGGUUGUAACGGACUUCGGUACGGAAGAAUACGCAUGGACUAAUACUACUGUGUGGAGUGACGGUACCGGUAAGAAGAAG
rnacentral:rRNA from 1 species